GUAACAGCUCUGGCUGGCCUGGAACUCCCUUUGUAGAUGGGGCUGGCCGUGAACUCACAGAGAUCCACCUGCCUCUGCCUCCUGAGUUUGGGGAUGAAAGGUAUGUACCACUACUGGCUCCACCUUGUUUUUUUGAAAUAGGGUGUCUCACUGGGACAUGAGACUUGCUGGUUAUUCUAGAGUGGGUGGCCAACAUGCCCCAGGGAUCCUCCCUUCUCUACCUCCCCAGUUAGGUACUAAAAGUGUAUGCUACUAUGUGUGGUUUGUGUGUGUGCAGAGGUGGGGUGGGGUGUUUGUGUGUGUUGUGUGUGUACGUAUGCACCAGUGCAUGUGGCCAUGCUUGUGCAUGGAGGCCAGAGGAAUGUAUUCUGCGUCCUCCUUUUCUCUUUUUCUCUUGAGACAAGGGUCUCUCUGAACCUGGAGUUGGACUGGGAGCCACCAAGCCACCUUCCUGUCUCUGACCCUAACAGUGUUGGGGUUACAGAUACACAUGCCGUCAUGCCUGGGUCUUUAUGUGAAUGCCACAGAUCAAUCCCAUGCCUUCAUGUUUGCAUGGCAAACAUUCUACCAACUGAGCCAUCUCCCCUUCCUCUCAACAAACAUUUUUAAACUUAAAUUGCAUUAUUUAUUUCUGCGUGUAUGUGCGGGCACUCCAUCAGAGGGCAACUUGAGAAGAGGCAGUUUUCUUCCACCACAAGGACCCAGGGAUUGAACUUGAUUAUCAGGUUUAGCCGCAAGUAUCUUUGCCAGCCAAGCCAUCUUGCCAGCUCAACAAAUAUUUUCAACACUAAACCUAUCCCUAAACAAGGUGCUAUUAAGUUAUCAGAUUAUUGCUUCUUGGGCCGAACACUAUAUCUUCCUAUUAAAACACAGAAUGUGCUGUGAAUCUGAGUGUCUUGCAUUGAGGGCUGAGCUUUCUACCUUCAAAUACCACGAGUACUUCCCGAGCUUCUGAAGGCCACUGUUCCUUCCUAAUGAGAAUCUUCUGUCUAUGAUUCAUGGAUAAAACUCCUAUAAAUGGUUUUAUGUACAGGCUUAAAAUAUGUGAAUCUGCAAGAAGUCUGGGAGUACUCGGUGGCCUUAGGUGACCCCUAUGAAAGGCACUUAGAUCUUAAAGGGGUCGUGCUCCACAGGUUGAGAACCAUUGCUUGAAGGCGCUGUUCCCUGAUGAGAAAUUAUGAGCUGAUGGCAGCCCACAUUGACAUCGAGCUCCCCACUGCUGAUGCCUAUAGAGGCUAGAGUUUCUACUGCUGCCUCUGAUGAAAACUCUGAAGCUGAGCUCCACUUUGCACUGGGUCAUCAAUGACAGAUGAUCAACAAAGAAGCCAGUAUCCAGGAAAUAGGGUGAUGGAAUACCACGGAUUUGGUUCACAGCUCUGAGCAACCUCUGCUUACCUCAGAGCAGAAAAGGGCCCAUCUUCUCUCUGGUUAAUCUGAGCCACUGAGAACUUAGCCUUGUGGUACACAGCCAUCUUGUAACCCUUUGUGAUGAGAUAUCUAAGAAAGACUCAACUGUUUGAAAGAAAGCCAAACCCAGAGACGAGACACAUCUGCACGCAAAUGUCAAUCUGAGCUCACAAAAGCUUCUGGACUUCUUCCAUGACACAAAAACUUUCUCCUCAACUUGGUUACCUAUCACUUAUAACCCUGAGGACCUACUCAUAUGCUCUACUUGUCAAAAUAAAAAUCAGUUGACCCUCAGCUCCAAUGUCUAUGUGGAGAUAAGAUGAAAACUUUUUGGAGUUGGUUCUUUCUUUCCUCCAUGUGGGUCCCAAGGAUCUAACUCAGGUCAGCAGGCUUGGCAGCAAACAUCUUUAUCUUCUGAACCAUCUCACUGGUCAUCCUUCUCAGUAGUUCUCUUUAGAACUACUGAGAUCAUGAUCAAAAAAGAAAGAUAAGAAAUGGUCACAUGCUACACAGACUGGAGAACUACAUAUGAACAGAUAUCCUGGGCCA
rnacentral:lncRNA from 1 species